CAAAGCUUUCAUUGAGGAUCUGCGACCUCCAUACAACCAAAUGAAGAUAUGGCUAUGAAAUCGGCUUAUAUCUCCAGCAAGUCUCCGGACACUGUGAUGCAAUGUUUCAUCUAAUCGUGCUCCACUCUACCUCCCUGACCUCAAACUAGGAUUCACUUAUAGUUCAGGAACUUUUUUGCUAUGAAAAGCAAAGAGAUCUAUCGAGUUGCUGAUCUCGGUUUGGCCAUUUGCUUCACGCACAGCUCUGUCCUCUCCGAUCUUGACCACGUGUGCCUCCCUAUUGACGCAGACAGGUUUAGGUUCAACUUACAUGAGGUUUUGAAGCCAACUAUGGACUCACGGGUGACCUCUAUUAUGUCGUUGGCCACAUGAAGCUGCUAAAUGGACAGAUGCUCAUUCAACGCCCGGUCCUUCACGAAGUGGUAAUAGCAACCACACAGCGUGUCUUGAUCCAUUUGCAAACUAAGUAGUAUAUUGUCUUCAUCUAUUUCACAUUCUCUGUAUAGAAUAGUAAAGUUUCUAGCUAUGAGUCUAUAACGUAUAUUUGAUGUUCUAAUCAUGGUUACUUUCCAUACUCAUGGUUUUGUUUAUAUUUGUAUGGUUAGUAAUCUGUAUAGAAUAGUUAAGUUUCUAGAAUCGGUACUUUGAC